GACGAACGCUGGCGGCGUGCUUAACACAUGCAAGUCGAACGGAAAGGCCUGCUUUCCCUUGUGGAUUGCGGGUACUCGCGUGGCGAACGGGUGAGUAACACGUGAGUGAUCUGCCCCCAACUUGGGUAUAAGCCUGGGAAACUGGGUCUAAUUCCCGAUAGUACUGCAGGGUGGUGCCUGUGGUGGAAAACGAUUUUCUAGUGGUUGGGGAUGAGCUCGCGGCCUAUCAGCUUGUUGGUGGGGUAAUGGCCUACCAAGGCGGCGACGGGUAGCCGGCCUGGGACGGCCGACCGGCGACUUGGGACUGAGAUACGGCCCAGACGCCGACGGGAGGCAGCAGUGGGGAGUAUUGGACGGUGGGCGGACGCCUGAUGCCGCGACGCCGCGUGGGGGAUGACGGCCUUCGGGUUGUAAACUCCUUUCGAGCGCGAGGAAGCCACCUGGUUGGAAGGGUGGUGACGGUAGUGGUAGAAGAAGCACCGGCUAACUACGUG
rnacentral:rRNA from 1 species